rnacentral:rRNA from 2 species
UACGUAGGGGGCUAGCGUUAUCCGGAAUUACUGGGCGUAAAGGGUGCGUAGGUGGUUUCUUAAGUCAGAGGUGAAAGGCUACGGCUCAACCGUAGUAAGCCUUUGAAACUGGGAAACUUGAGUACAGGAGAGGAGAGUGGAAUUCCUAGUGUAGCGGUGAAAUGCGUAGAUAUUAGGAGGAACACCAGUUGCGAAGGCGGCUCUCUGGACUGUAACUGACACUGAGGCACGAAAGCGUGGGGAGCAAACAGG